CAUCUUGUCAGCACUGGGGGCCCAAGAUCUCCUCGACUCGCUGCACUCCUACUGCUUCUGCUCCCGGGGGAACAGGAGUACGGGUGCUGCCUGCGGGAGCAGGUGGGGAAGAACGGCGAGCUGAAGAGGGGCAGCCGCCGACAGCCAGGUGCACACGCUGCAGGAGGAGCUGGACGAGCUGAAGGGAGGGAGCUCCCUGCCUUAGCAGCCUGCUGCCCCCAGCCAGGUUUGGUGGCAGCAGUGGGAUUCAAAGGACUCAUCUGAUGGCUUCGGAGAUGAGAAACACAGGCAUUGGUACCCGCAAAACCUUUGAGUUCUCCAUCUUUUUCGCUGUUUCCGAGGGCCGUGGGAGCUCUUCUGGAAAGUGGUGCCCUCUCAGUGCCUGGGCUCCACCUGGGGCAAGAGGAACCAGCCCGGCAAUGAGCACCUGGCACCCACCGUCCAAGCCACCGUCGACCACUUCAGAAGGGUGGUCAGCCUCGUUGUCACCACCUGCCUCGGGGACCCGAGUAUGACGGCCCAGGACAGGGCGAGGGUGGUGGAGCACUGGAUCCAGGUGGCCCAGGAGUGCGAGAUCCUGAAGAACUUCUCCUCGCUCCGUGCUGUCAUCUCUGCUCUGCAGAAAACCUCCAUAAGCCACCUGAAGAACACGUGGGCAGAUGUUUCCCGGGAGAGCUCAGAACAACUUAAGGAGUUCUGUAGCCAUGACAAGUCCUUGAGAAGAGAAUUGAUGACCAAGGGUGUCGUCCCCUAUCUUGGCACUUUCCUCGGUGACCUGCUGAUGCUGCACCUGGCGAUGGGUGAUUAUCUCGAGGGGAGUGAGAUCAACCUUCAGAAAAGGACUGAGGAAUACCGAGUCAUGAGGGAGAUGCUGCUGCUCCAGGUGGCUGCAAAGAAUUACAACCUAGAGCCCGAGGAGCGAUUUGGGGCCUGGUUCCAGGACAUGGAGCUGCUCAAUGAGAAUGAUAGGCGAAGAUUUGUGAUGCAGCUUUUAAGGCUACAUCUGGGCCUCCUUCCGUCAUGUCUAUGCUGCCUACACACUAGGCUCUCCAGCAUCCCUGCACGUACUUAUGUAAUGCUGUUUCAGGAGGAAAUGUCCUGGAGGCCCCAGCCUCUGUCAGGCCAUGAGAUGACCUGAAUGCAGAUAUAGUGGGAUUCAUCACCUCUGCGUCCUUCAGUCCUCGGUGGUGGUCCUAAUCUCUGCAGCCCCUCCAGGAAUGCGACACUCAGAUCAACUAGCUACCACCAUAGGUUUCUGUGAGUCAAAUGGAUUCUCAUUAUUGCCUUGACUCCACUAUCCAUUACAGAAACCAUAACCACCUUGUCUCUUGAGAUUCAGUGCCUCUGCUUGGUCUCUGCUGCCCCGGGAUCCAGGUGUCCUCACUGCAUAUCAAGAUCCCAGGUCACUGGCAGCAGUUCCACUGUAAUGUCUGCCCUAAAGAGGAGAGUGGCCACAGAGCUCUUCACGGACUCGGGGACUGCCCUCAUGAAUUUAUUUCCACAGUAGUAGUGCAAGUGUGUCCUCUGGACCCUGUUGGGGUGGGUAGGCAUGUCUUACAUGAUAAAUACACUCUAACGUUCCAAUCACCUAAGCCUUGGAUACCUUCUUCUAUAGGAGACCAAGGAAGGUCAGCCUCACUUAGUGUAUUCCCGGCAACCAAUGACACUGCUGGAACUCUUUGUGCCCUCUCAAGACACAGCAAAGAGUAGAGAAUCUCUGCUUAGUGGGCCCAUAUCAAUAAAUUAGACCUGAUCCAACUUUAUGUUCCUUCCACCAUUAUCCAAACCCCUUAAUAGCCAUUUGCACACAGUUUUCCUAGAUUUGUUUCUG